UUUUGUUAAAGCAGGACAGAGGCUCUUCCUCGAGGUCCAAAAAUGGGUCAUACAGCACAUCAUAAAUUAAGACUGUAUAAUACAAACAAACUCACGAUAGCCUCCCUUCGUACUUAGGUGUUGUGUCUAACUUUAGACCUUUGUUGCUGUUUAAAUUUUACUACUGUUUCUUCCUGACAGAAUUAUUUACACAUGUCUGUUUGUUGUUAAAGAAUAUAUUAUACAUUCCAUGACCACACUGCGUGGCGAAUAGUUUACUAAAUGCAACAAAAAGUGCAAAACAUUCGGUAUUGGAGGAAAAUAUGAUCAUCUUCACUUGUGGCAACUGCAACCAGGAGUUUAAAUUUCAAGUGAAGCAAGGAGAUGCUGCUGAACAGAGUGAUCUGAACAGAUGUCGAUUGGUCCAAAAGCUUGUUAUGAAAAAUCUGAUAAAAGAACGGUUGAGUUUUUGUAACUCAAGACGAUGGGAUUAAUAAAAUGUCAAUAAAAUACUUACACCUUCCA